rnacentral:piRNA from 1 species
UGUGCUGCCAUUAUGAAGUCUUUAGGUGG